rnacentral:rRNA from 1 species
GACGAACGCUGGCGGCGCGCUUAACACAUGCAAGUCGAACGGAAGGGCCCGCUUUCCCUUGUGGAUUGCGGGUACUCGAGUGGCGAACGGGUGAGUAACACGUGAGUGAUCUGCCCCCAACUUGGGUAUAAGCCUGGGAAACUGGGUCUAAUUCCCGAUAGGACUGCAGGGUGGUGCCUGUGGUGGAAAACGAUUUUCUAGUGGUUGGGGAUGAGCUCGCGGCCUAUCAGCUUGUUGGUGGGGUAAUGGCCUACCAAGGCGGCGACGGGUAGCCGGCCUGAGAGGGUGGACGGCGACAUUGGGACUGAGAUACGACCCAGACUCCGACGGGAGGCAGCAGUGGGGAAUAUUGCACAAUGGGCGGAAGGCUGAUGCAGCGACGCAGCGUGGAGGAUGACGGCCUGCGGGUUGUAAACUCCUUUCGACCGCGAGGAAGCCACCUGGUUGGGAGGGUGGUGACGGUAGUGGUAGAAGAAGCACCGGCUAACUACGUG